rnacentral:rRNA from 1 species
GAUGAACGCUGGCGGCGUGCCUAACACAUGCAAGUCGAGCGAUUCUCUUCGGAGAAGAGCGGCGGACGGGUGAGUAACGCGUGGGUAACCUGCCCUGUACACACGGAUAACAUACCGAAAGGUAUGCUAAUACGAGAUAAUAUACUUUUAUCGCAUGGUAGAAGUAUCAAAGCUCCGGCGGUACAGGAUGGACCCGCGUCUGAUUAGCUAGUUGGUAAGGUAACGGCUUACCAAGGCGACGAUCAGUAGCCGACCUGAGAGGGUGAUCGGCCACAUUGGAACUGAGACACGGUCCAAACUCCUACGGGAGGCAGCAGUGGGGAAUAUUGCACAAUGGGCGAAAGACCUGAUGCAGCAACGCCGCGUGAGCGAUGAAGG